rnacentral:rRNA from 1 species
AAAUUGAAGAGUUUGAUCAUGGCUCAGAUUGAACGCUGGCGGCAGGCCUAACACAUGCAAGUCGAACGGUAACAGGAAGCAGCUUGCUGCUUUGCUGACGAGUGGCGGACGGGUGAGUAAUGUCUGGGAAACUGCCUGAUGGAGGGGGAUAACUACUGGAAACGGUAGCUAAUACCGCAUAACGUCGCAAGACCAAAGAGGGGGACCUUCGGGCCUCUUGCCAUCGGAUGUGCCCAGAUGGGAUUAGCUAGUAGGUGGGGUAACGGCUCACCUAGGCGACGAUCCCUAGCUGGUCUGAGAGGAUGACCAGCCACACUGGAACUGAGACACGGUCCAGACUCCUACGGGAGGCAGCAGUGGGGAAUAUUGCACAAUGGGCGCAAGCCUGAUGCAGCCAUGCCGCGUGUAUGAAGAAGGCCUUCGGGUUGUAAAGUACUUUCAGCGGGGAGGAAGGGAGUAAAGUUAAUACCUUUGCUCAUUGACGUUACCCGCAGAAGAAGCACCGGCUAACUCCGUGCCAGCAGCCGCGGUAAUACGGAGGGUGCAAGCGUUAAUCGGAAUUACUGGGCGUAAAGCGCACGCAGGCGGUUUGUUAAGUCAGAUGUGAAAUCCCCGGGCUCAACCUGGGAACUGCAUCUGAUACUGGCAAGC